AUAUUAUAAGUAUCUCUUAAGUGAAAUAUUUUUUCCCAAUUUCAAAAGGGCAAAAGAUCAUGCGCCUCCCUAAAAUCUCUAUGGAUAUAUUAGUUUAGGGUUUCUUACUACAGCACCUCUGACGAAUCUGCGGAAGUGUUUCUACACCUUCUUAGGCAGUGCAUGGUUUUGAGAGGCUAAAAUCAUCUACAUUCUUCUGGUUGAGGCCAUCCUCCGAGUCUUGAAAAGAAAAAUGCAGGUGAUCUAAUUGAAAAUGUUGGCCACAAGUCCAAUUAAUUUAUUGAAGUGAAUGAUGAAGACUUUUUCAACAAUUGUGAUAUUUAUUAUUCAUCUAUGUGAAUACAUUCGGUUUUUUAUAGUUUGUUGCUAGUUCACAUAUUGAAACAAAGCUUUAUUAAUGUGUAGCACAUGAAAUAUAUUUCUGCUUUGAAGUUCAGUGGAA